AAUGCUAGUACGGUGGUACCUAGUGAGUCUCAAAAAUGCUAGUUAAAUUCUUUUUUUUUUUUUAACCUUUUGUCCAUUUUCCGACCACGGUCUCUGGUUUUAAGGCCAAGGGCUUAAACCCUACGCUCAAUCCUCAAUACUGCAAGAGAUCACCGGCACAGGAAGAAGAAAAAAAGAGCACAACUUGCCUAGCUGAAAACCCGGUGAGAAAAGCUAUGGAUGUCGGUGGGAAAAUGGAAAUGGAUGUAGAUGGGGAGAGUUACCCGAGGUGUUUGAGCAGCUAUAUCGACGAGGGUAGCAUAGAGUCUCAUAGGUACUACUUGUCACGCCGAACUGUGCUGGAAAUGCUUAGGGACCGUGGUUUUCUUGUACCCAAUUCGGAGAUUGGACUCUCUCUUCAAGACUUCCGUAAUAACUACGGCCAACAGCCUGACAUUGAUCGCCUGAGAAUCUCUGCUCUUCACAAGGAUGACCCUUCUAACAAGAUUCUAGUCCUUUUCUGUGGGCCUAAUGUGGUGAAAGUAAAUGUAAUUCGUGCUAUUGCAAACCAAAUCAUGAACAAAGACACUCUAAGUAGGCUGAUACUAAUUGUGCAAAAUCACAUGACCAGCCAGGCUAUGAAAGCUGUGGAUCUCUUGCCUUUCAAAGUUGAGAUUUUCCAGAUUACUGACUUGCUUGUCAAUGUCACUAAGCACGUUUUGAAGCCAAAGCAUCAACUGCUAACUGAAGAAGAGAAACAAAGGCUUCUUGAGAAGUAUAACAUAGAGGAGAAACAGGUUGGUGUUAUUAUGGAAGUGAUAUAGAAUUUGUUUUCUUAUAGUUUUACAUCUCUAGGUGCAGAACAUGGUUCUUGCAGCAUGUUGUGGCGGCAGCAUUUUCUUAAAGUUUCAGAAAUGUGCUGCAACCUUUCAAGUUCUUUGAUGCUCCCGCGGAUGUUGCAAAAAGAUGCAAUUGCUCGAUACUAUGGACUUGAAAAGGGGCAGGUGUUGAAGGUUACCUACAAUAACGAGAUCACUGAGACGCACGUUACCUACAGAUGUGUUUGGUGAUCAUAGAUGUUGAGCUCAAUCUUGCCCUGAAUGUUUGUAGAGAUGCUAUCUGUGGACUGCUAAAUAUUAAUAGUCCUGUAAAUUCUUCUAAGUGCUGCAGAAAGUUUAUCAACUCUUAUGUAUUGUUAAUGUUUUAAUUGCAGAUUCCUCUCUCUCUCUCUCUC